UUUAGUCAAUAAUCAACCCCACACUUUCUUCUGAAACUGCUGAUCUGCCAUUCGCCCACUUGCCCGGCCAAAUACUCAGAGGCAGCGCUGCGCCCCGACGGAGCCCCCCGGACUGGCGAGGAGGAUUUGGACAGGGAGAGAAAAGAUGGGGACUGCCGAAACCUGCGGACACCGGGGAGCCUCCCUGUUUGGGGGGCCCCGCCGAAAGCCGGCCGAGUUUUUCCUAGGAGCACGUUUCAACUUGGGAGCCAUCUCCAGCGGGAUAUUCUGACUAAAUAUGCCCAUUCAGAGAAGCAGAAUAAACCUCCACAUUUUCAAGGCUGAUUUAUUGUUAGAAGCCGUGCCUGGCUCUUGGUUCAGCUCCUUCUCACCGCGGAGAAAUAAAGAGGAGCGCCUUGGCUCAUUUGGGAAGGGGAAGCUUUGCCAUGGAGCUGAGCACUCAUGCAGCGCUACUCGCACAAUAAACAAAGUACCACUAAAGCAUCAUAAAUAAAAUGGCAGCACGAUCGCACAGUCAUCGAUUUACGGAGCGGCAGCGGCCGAACAAACACCCAUAAAACAACAACCACCGCCGCACACUCGAGCACGACCCCGACCGAGGAGCAUCACACACCCCCCACAUCGUUUUCUCCGGCUUACCCAAAUACGUAAAUAAAUAAACACACAAACACACAAAUAAAAUAAUAGAAUAAAAUGAAGGGGGGAACUAUUCAAACGCGACAGUAAAAGAGGCUUCCCAUCUCUAGCCGGUCAUAAAUAAUGUUAAAAUGGCAAUCGAGGGGCUGUAGCGGAGGCAGCUGGCCAUCAACAGCAGUGUGGGAUCUCUAUGGAGAAAAAUAAAUAAAGAAGCAAACUCUGCCUGCUCUGCUCGCUGCAAGGGUAGAGUUGAAUAUUUACCACAGCAAAUUGAAACAAAGGGGGAAGCAGCCUGGCUCCGGGUGCACACACACCCGCACGCACACACACGCACUCACUCCAGCCUCUGCUACUGACCUUUGCCUCGAACAGCAAUAACUCACCACAUAAAUGAACAAUCAACGGAAAUACCUUAAAAUAAAAUCCAUCCUUUCUAACGAAGCAUUUCGUCCUCUCGGCUCGACAAUAACCUUUCCAUAAGGAACGAAAGCUGUCAGCGAAAUGGCCAGCUCUUGUGGGGACGGUGAUGGGGGCAGGAGGAAAAAAAAAAAA